rnacentral:lncRNA from 1 species
AGUUUAUUAAGAUUAGAAUCAAGCGCACCUGCUUCUUGUGGGAUUCAUAACCUCAGUAUUGAUAGGCUAGUGUCCAGCUCUGUAUGAUGGAGAGUGAGAUAAUAAUUACAUGUUUGUCUGAUAAAAGGGAAGUUCUUUUCUUCAGGGAUAUCAAUUUAUUUGAAACCAUAAAAUUAAAUCAUAAAUGAACAACUACAAAAAAGUGACAAUGAACAGUAUAAUUAGUUUAAAUGAUCUACAAUCAAGAUGUUUUUAAAUAUAUAAAAGAAAUUAUUGUAGAAGUUUAUGUGUAGAUGUUUUUGUCUGUAUAAAAAUAAUAUACAGGUUGAAUAAUCUUGUGUUGCGGAAGAAGAAGUAAUGUGUGAAAUGAUUUUGAUAAUUGCAGUGUUCCAUUUUACAUUAGUAAAAUUACUAUAUACCAAUGUGUCCUCAGCAUGGGUAAAAAUCUUGCUUUAAAAUGUGAUCAAGAAUAUACUGGAUAAUGUAAAAUGUAAAAGAUUUUUUUGUUACUUUUAUAGGUCUAUAUACUUAUAUCAAGAUACUAUAAUGAGUAUAGCCUUAUAAGUGAACAAUUAUCAUGAAGUUUUUAUAUUUACGAGAAUUAGUUUGCCAGUACUUGUGCCAUUGCAAAGUUAAGGUGCUUAUUGCAUUACACUAGUGGACAGUGUUUUUGCAGAAAUGUAUUCCAAGAUUGGUUUUUUUUCAGUAAACAGAAUUUUCAAUGCUAUUUAUUUGGUCUUUUUUCAGUGUACACUGAUUUUGGAAUGCUAUAAGAGUAUGUAAAUUCUCUUUCGUUUUUUUUUUUUUUUUAUUUAUUUGACUAUAUUCAUGAAGAAACUAUGAAACUAUGAUUUCUCCCCUGUGACUCAAGUUUCCAGACUUGUCAUUCCAUAAUAAAUCAGUUUUAUAUUUUGUUGUUACAUAUGAGUUUGGACUUAAAGAACAUUUUCAGAUUAUUGGUGAUAGUUGUAUAAAAGCUUUUAUUCACAUACUUAUUUUUGGACUGCAUUCAAAUAAUUGAGAAAGGAAAAUCUAUGACAUUUUCUUCUCUAAAAAUUUACUAAGUUAUUUUUGUCGAGCCUUCGACUUUAGUCGAAAAAGCGAGACUAAGCGAUCCUACAUUCCGUCGGCGUCGG